UUGUAUUGGCAUUCUCGCUUAGCGAGCAUCAUGCUUCGCUAAGCGAGCGUAUCAAAUUAGAACUCUGCGGAAUUAAUAAUUUAAAUAAAAAUAAGCUAGCGUAUCAAAUUAGAACUCUGCAGAAUUAAUAAUUUAAAUAAAAAUCCACUCGUUUUAUAUCCCUGACUUAUUCUGAAAUAUUUCGUAAGCAGUGUAAUAAUAUUAUGUGAUUAGAAUGUUUAUCACGCUUAGGAAUUUAGGUUCAGGAAUUAGGACAGUUAGAUUACCAUGAGAAGGUUUUUCUUUUCUUUUGGGCAGGACAACUUAGAACAUCAGGUUAGAAUAUGUCAACCAAAAAAUUAUAUCAGAGGAGUUAUUUAUUACUCCAUAUAUGGUUAUAUUAUGUGAUUGUGAGCCCAGACGGAACGGACGUACCUUAUUAUCCAAGUACGCAAACCAGACACUCCAAGAUCGGCUUGCCUUGGAGUGUACUUGAGACUUAAAACGAACAAGAUAAUUUACUUUGUGAUACACUUUAUUUAUGUUGUUAAGUUAUUUUAUGUAAGACUUAUGAAAAUAUGUUAGAAACUGACAUUCAGGUAUCCCGGUGUAGUCACCAUUAGUUGGGUAGUAGGAUCUCACUGAGGCUUAGUAGUCUCAUCCCACGCCU
rnacentral:lncRNA from 1 species